AUGGACACACCGGCGGUACCGCUGUCGCGUGAGCACCAUGGGGGACAAAGCGGAGAUGCGAUGCGCCGCGAGGAGCAGCUUAGGACCACGUUGCACUAUGAUGACAAGGAGAAGCUGCGCAGGAAGUUGGCCCUGUUGCAGAGGGAGUACCUCAGGACAGCUGAGAGACUGCAGCGGGCCGAGCGUCUGGACGCAGUGCGGAGACAUGUGAGGAGCAGGAUCGGUCGGCAGGACCAGGACCAGGACCAGAGAGACCCGGAGGAGACACCGGGUCCCCGUCUCAAGCCAUCACCAUGGGUACCGAACGCCACCAAUGGGACAGCACCACGCGCCGCUCCGUGCCCGGGACACGCGGGAGCAGUUUCCGAUGCCUCCAGGAAGAGCCCGGUGAUCCGCUUCCUGCUCCCCUCCGCUGCCGUCGGCCCGCAGACACCGGACCCCCGGCACGACACCGUCAGCGGUCACAGGCCGAGUCCCGCCCUGCGCCUCCGGUCUCGACGCAGCCGCCUGCGCUGGGAAAGGAGGAGCGCCGAGGCCGGCGGGAGCGCCGACGACCACAGCGAGGAACCCCGGGAGCGAUGUGGCAGGAUGGAGACUGAUGGGGCGGAAGGGUGCGAGGGCGGAGUCAGAGCGGAGGCCGCGAACGAGAGCGAGGAGCCGCUGUCCUGCGACGACUCCGAGUCUCCGUCCCUGCUGCUUCCGCAGUGGAACGCUCCCGGGGCAGCAGGAGCGGGAGGUAACGAGGGGGAAGAGACGCGAGAACGACUAACGGAGACAGACGCCGAGCUCCCGCGUUGGACCGGAACGGGAGCCAGAAGGGAGACGGAGGAAGGAGGGAAGAGUAAAGAGGACCGGGACGGAAGGCUGUUUGAAGGCGGCAGCGAAAGAGACGCCGAACAAAUGGCAGCAGAGCUUAGAGAAAGAGAAAAGGGUGGCGAGAACGCGGCUGGGAUCAGAGAAGAGGAGAGCGAGCUGACUGGAGGAGAGCGUGACGGGAAGGGCGCCAGUCCCCGGGACUCUUGUACCUUACGAGAAGGACUACUUUACCCGGCGGAGUACUACGUCCGGACCACGAGACGGAUGACCCUUUCGCAGAGCCAGCCGGACACGCAGGCCGUCGUAUUCUCCCAGCUGAGCGCCGGACAGCAUCGGGCGGGCCGCGGCAGAGGCCCGACGCGCUUGGACCGCCGCACCGCCGCAUGUUCGUCCUCGCCGACGUCCGGCGAGCUCAACGGCCACAGCUCCAGAGAGACGCCCGACCCAAUCCCGUGGUGUGAAAUCGACGGCGACGCUCGCGUCCCCCCCCCCGAUCGCCGCCGCCGCCCGUCCGGCGAGAGGCAGGAGGACGAGAAGAGGUAGAGGCCGGGGCGGAGGGAGGACGCGGACCCCGCGGCGCCCACUUAUUGGAGAACCAAAUCAACAACCGGGCCUCGGAACGACCUCAGACAACCCCCGGGCCCCCGGCCCGCCCCCACAUGGAGCCGAGGGACCGGGACAAGCCGCGGCGGCGCGGGACGAGCCGGAGGCUGCGUCGGCCUGCAGGGCGGCCACGCCUCCUUCCCCUGGAGAAACCCAGCCAGGCUCCGCCUCUGGACACGCGAAGAAGGUCUUCCCCAUCUUCUUGAGGAGCGAGGCGAACGGAUCCAGACAGACGAGUAGGAGAA
ensembl:lncRNA